AAGUUGUGAGCACUGAAGCUCCUGCCUCUGCCUCACACACUCCAGGAGCCUGAGGAACACCUGAGUAGCAAGUGCCAGGAGAAGACAAAGGUCCAGGAAGCCACUGAGCUUAGAAGAUACAUCUGCUCUGGUCACCCUUGUUAGAGAAUCUGCGUUCAUCUCCAGUCUGUAUGUGUGUAUAUCUGUAUGAACAUGUGUCUGUGUACACAUACACGUGUGCAUGCCUGUGUCACUUCUGUUGUGUGACAUGCGUUAGGCUGGGUUUCAUUUGUGUGUGAUAAUGCAUACCUACGUGUUAAGUAUACCCAUGUCUUCAUGUUUAGUGUAUGUGCGUAUCUAGGCUCACACGGGUACCUGUGUAUAAACAUGUUUGUCUCUUGAGUGUAUGCCUGCUGACCAUGAUGUGUCUUUAUGUGAGCGGUCUCUCCAUGUAGUCUGUCAGUGUCUUCACACUUGAGGAUCUGCAUGAGUGUGCCUUCUUUCUGCCAACUCUCUCUUGCCCAUCCAUUCCUUAGUCUCCUGCUAGCCAAGCAUUGUUACACAUCUCUAUGCCUCCUGUUUACCUUCUCUCAGCAAACACGUUUCUAAGCACGUGUCCCCCUGCUCUUAAGACUGGCCACUUUCGCUCCAUGGUUCUUUUUUUACACAAACAUGUUUUCUUCCUCCAACUCUCUACCUCAGACUUCCUCUGCCUACUUUCAUCAUAAUCCCAUUGGUAGCUCAUUUGGAGGCUAAGGCUGGUAUUCCUUUAGCCUUGCCCUCUUAAUUUCUAGUUCUAGCGGAUAAGCCCCAUCUUAGCCCAUGCUGAUCUCCACAGUGUAUCAUAUUCGUACUACUUCAUGACCCCUCUGCUUAGCCUGGAAUUGUAGGAGGUAGCAAGGGCAUUCAGAAGACUCAGUUGGAAACAGUUGUCUUCGGCGUUUACUGUUGUGUCUUAGUUCCAGGGUUGGGUGGGGUUUGAUAGGGAGGGAGUAGCUAGAGUAUGAACUAAGGACCUUUCUGUCUGAUUUACUUUAUUUUUCUCUUUGAAAACUACUUGUCAUCUUUUUAAUUCCAAGCUGACCAGUAAGUUGUAUCCACUGUUCGUGGCUACUAAUGUGUUACUGUCCAGCCAAGGGCCCACACUGUCUCAGCCCAAUGGGUUGGCAGACAAAGGGGAAGCCACUUCCAUUUCCCCCAUCAUGAUUGCCCUUUUUUAGCAAGUAUGUGAACUCAGUGCUUUUCUAUGAAUAAAUCAUGGAUCACAGAAAAGAUUUUUCUAAAAGCAGAAAUUGUGUUCUCUCAGUAAAUGAGGCCCUUCUCUCCUUUGACGGGACAGGGAGUUGGUUGGGCUUAAACAGAGAUAUACAGUAAUGGACAGAUGGAAGAUUCCUCACAUUACACCCACGUCCAUAGUUCCAAGGUACCUCAAAACUGUCCUAGGAAACAGUACUCUCCCAAUAUCACAUGAUUAUCAGGAGCACAAGAUUCUGAGUAAAUCAGUGGGUAUACUCAGAAAACAAUGCACAAUGAACUUAAAUGUCAGGGCCCUUUGGCGUCAGAAACCUUAGCUGGACAGCCUAAGGCUCCAAUCCUAAGCAACUUAGCUCUUUAUCUUUCUACCCUCCCCUACUGUGGUAUCCAAACUAAAGUCUCCUUAGUCCCUAUUUACCUUAGCUCCUCUUGCCUCCUGAACUCUGCACUGUUUUAGCAUCUUCUGUGCCCCUUUUGAACUCUCUUCUUCCUUCUGAGACACAAAGACCUAAGUUACAGGUACCCCAACCCUUGUCUUUAAAUGCCAUAGCCCCAACUACCUGGAACGCUGUACCUUUAUUACCUCAAUCCUGAGCUUGGAUGGCUGAUAGCAUAACGGUAGUCUGAGCCUGGUGCUAAUGCUAUAUGUAGUGCAUGCUCACUUCUUCACUGAUACCUGAGCCCUACACUUGGCUAGACUGUGCACAGGAAGCUUGACAAAAGGAACAAAGGAGCUAGGCCUGGUGGUAUGCGCCUUUA
rnacentral:lncRNA from 1 species